rnacentral:piRNA from 1 species
UGGAACGGAAUCAGGUUGGGCAGCGUGA